GAAAAUUCCUUCAAGAAAGAAAAUGCCCUCACUCAUACUUCAAGUUAUAGAAGACAUCAGGUUGUCCAAUACUUGCCUGAUCUUCCAAGAUUUCCAUCCUCGAUCCUGAGACCAGAAUGGUUUGGCCAUUUUUGAGAAACUAUUGCAUUUAGGGGGAUUUGUUCCACAAAAGAAGAAUGUGGGGCUAAGAAGUGGCGAGAGGGUGCUAAUCUAGAAAAUGAUGGACCUGUGUUCUUUAGCUUCUAUUUCUGGUUUUGUGUGACAGGUAAGAGAACACUGACCCCACAUGCUCUCCCAGUGACCGCCUCACAGCUCUUCAAAGAGGCCCUUUCUCAUAUGACUCCCUCUUCUCACUGGAUUCCCACCUAAGUCUCGAUGGUAACUUAGAGAAAGAGGGUCUUCUGAAAUACACAUUUUAAAUACAUGCCCUCAAAUGAGAAGUCAUGACCCUAAGAGAACUGUAGGGACAGCAAAAUGUAUGAAAAAAGAAGUUAUGAGCCUAGAGGUUAGAGCCAAUCUUAUAUCUCAUCUCGGCCACUUACUAGACUGGUGACUUCAAGCAAGUUACAGGACGCUAAACCUCCCGAUUCCUCGUUAAAAUGGAGAUAAAAAAGAUCUCAAACAUUGUAUAAGGUUAUCAAGGGUAAAAAAUGAAAUAAUGCAAAAAUUCCUAAUACAAAACAAUAAACAUCAUUUCUCUCUCUCAUACAGGAUCAGUCAGUAUUGCUCGAGACCAUCCCUUCUCGGUCACAAUGGGAAAGGGUUGUCCAUCUCCUGAAUCCAAGCCUUAUCACUUCAUUACCUGGCUUGCAUAGUGUUUCACGGGGGAACAAAGAAACAAGACAUCAAACUGAGGGGACCCACUUCUCCCAUCGCACGGCACCUUCUACAGGAAGAGUCGCGUUAUGCUGGCGCAGAUGCAGAUCCUACCGUCCGACGACUCACAUUUCCUUUGUAGUGCGCCUGGGAGGCGGUAGAGGGGCUUCCUCUUGGAAACUCGGUCGCUACCUAAGAACGGCCAGGACGGGCUUCCGCAAAGGGAUGUGGGAAACAAUUCUCACAUCCAGCAUGUGGAUCAAGUGAACAGAACGCGCAGGGUGGCCCGAAGUAGUUUUUGUGGGGAAAUCACUUAAAACAUCAUGGAUAGGGGCGCCUGGGUAGUGCAGUCGUUAAAGCGUCUGCCUUCGGCUCAGGGCGUGAUCCUGGCGAUCCGGGAUCGAGU
rnacentral:lncRNA from 1 species